UACGGAGGAUGCAAGCGUUAUCCGGAAUGAUUGGGCGUAAAGCGUCCGCAGGUGGCGAUGUAAGUCUGCUGUUAAAGAGUCUAGCUUAACUAGAUAAAGGCGGUAGAAACUACAUGGCUAGAGUGCGUUCGGGGCAGAGGGAAUUCCUGGUGUAGCGGUGAAAUGCGUAGAGAUCAGGAAGAACACCGGUGGCGAAAGCGCUCUGCUAGGCCGCAACUGACACUGAGGGACGAAAGCUAGGGGAG
rnacentral:rRNA from 1 species